UUAGAUUUCCCUUUAUACUGAUGAGAAAACAGUGCGCGCYAUAUUAGCUGCUUGGCUUGGUCAACAAAGGAACGCACACACUGGGAUUAUUUUGUGAACAAUCAAGAUUCUUUAGCUGAAGAUGAUGUCUAAGAAGCUUCUUAUUUUAUUUGUGAUUGUGAUGCUGACGGUGUCUCUGAGUGAGUCAGUACCAAGGGUUAAGGGUUCAAAUGUAGAUCUUGCUCGACUUUUGAGGAUCUUGAAAGCCAAGAGGUAUUAUGAGAAUGACCUAGACUGCGACUUUAGAGGUUGCAGGGGUAGCGGUGACUGCUGUGGAGGAUACACAUGUAAGGGGGGAAGAUGCUCAAAAUCUUAAAACCGGAAUGAAAUUCAGUUUCGAAAUAAGCUGAUCAUAGAAUGAAGUCAAAGCACAAGCAUAGWGACCUUAAAUAAAUAUUCCUCUUCUCAACCAUCUAUUUGAUAAAUGAUAAUUAAAUGAUGUUUGUUUA